GGUGGAAGUUACCAAAAUGUGGACAGUGACUAUACAUCAGCGACUCCCAGUCUUCACUGUACAUUUCAGUCACACAGGGUGCUUUGAGAAAAACAGAUGCCUGGGUUGCAGCCCCCGGGGUUCUGCUCUGACUGCUCUUGGGAGCAGCCUAGGCAUCAGGAUUCCUGAAAUCUCCUCCAGGGAUUGUCAUGGGCAGCGAUGGAGAAGCCCACUGGCCCAGAGAGUGAACGCUCUCUCCUGGGGCACCUUUCAGCCCCUCCUGUACCUCUUUGGGCUGCAAUCCCACCUCGUGUCUUCAGGCGGCUCUGUCUUCCCCUCUCAUUGCUUGGUGACAGUGGGCUUGGGGAUGUGCAGUGGUUUUCCACUAAGAGGUUCUUUUGGACCCUCCAUUCUGAUGCCCGAUUUCACCUGUGGGGAAUCCAGGGACCCGAAAGAGGUGGUGUUUUGUGCCUGUUCCUACUGGUGAGUCAGCAAUGGGCUGGGACCGAAAUCCAGGCCUCCUGAGUCACAGAGCGGGAGCUGAUGAUCUGGCAGAGUCAGCAGAGGGACAGGGACGAAGAGCACGGUGGGAUGGGGUGGGGUGGGGGGCUCCUGACUGUAGGAAAGGACACCAAAAAGGGAGGCUAUGCAGCCUGAAGAACAAACACAAGGCUGGGCAUAGACCAGGGCUCUGUUACUGUUGGUGCCUGAGCUCUGCUAGCCUGCAAAGCCUUGUGUUAUUAUUCUUUGCACCAGAGCCACACUGACUAGGUGUCAGUGGAGAAAAGUAAAGAAUCAUGUGCCUCGGGGCCCUCUGCUAGGGGCAUAUCGCAUUCUUCAUUCUACCGCCUGGGUCCAGAACACUGAAGGUUAGGGAGAAUUCACGGUCAUGGGCUGAAGUUGGGGGGGGGGGCAUGUGCACGUGUGUCUCUCUUUGUCCCACCAGGUGAGCCGGUGGGGAGGGAAGGACAUGGCCCGGGAUAUCUUUAUGGUAGUGGAGAAGGGCUCCUCGGUUGCUCAGUAGGAAUAUGAGGUUCACAAGCCUGGCAGUGCCCAAGAGCAGGGGUCACUCCUUAGGGGGCCAUUCACUUCACUUCGGUACCACAGCUUCUUGUACAAGGCUUGACGCACAGAAAGUUCUCAGGCAGCUUGGUGAAGUCAUGAGGAACAGAAGAAUUUGUUAUUCUAAUAUUUUAUUAACCAAGAGUGUGGGUAGUGUGGUGUUCUGUUUCAGACUAGGGUAAAAAAAAAAAA
rnacentral:lncRNA from 1 species